CUGUUGCCCAUCUUCGUCAGUUUCAGAGGGUAGAUUUCUCAGUGUUGAUUUUCCCCCAGUUCUCCACGCCCUCGUGCUUUUUUUUUUUUUUUAAUUUCCUUAAAUGUCGGCACCUCAGCUAGCCUCUUUUUCCCAUCUUCGUCCGUUUCAGCGGGUAGACUCUCCGCCUGCCUUCGACAGACCCUCUGCGCUUGAAAGCUUUCCUCCUCCCGUCAUCACGGUCCUUCUCGGAUGACGUGCCUGGUUUCGGUUUGACCGUCCCCGCCCGCCCUGAUUUUCUAAGUCCUCCCGGGAGCCCCGGGGGCGCUCCGGCCGCUCCGGGAAGCGGCGGCCUCCCGGCCGCACCGGCUCAGCCCGGCCCGGGCCGACCCCUGGCCUCUCUGGGGGAACUCUCCCCGUCCCCUUCCCGCUCCGGCGACGCGGGCCAAGGGACGGGACUCGGCCGCGGUGACCGAGGCAGAGUCCCGGGAGGCCGGCGUCGCUGGCGGGAUCUGGCCCGGUGGCGCCGGUGCGUGAGCGCGACGCCCGCUCGCCGGAGAUUGGAGGUGCAGGCUACUGAGGGAGGUGGCUGUCGCCGCGCCGCCCGGUGCCGGCCGGGGUGUGGGGCCUCCCGGACGGGUCGACCAGCAGCCGCCGGUGCCCCUCCGUCCCCGGGAGGGGGUGGGGGGCCACCGCGGGGGAACGGGCGAGGGAACUCGUCCCGUGCCCGGCCGUCGUCCUGAGGGCGGCCCGGUGGUCGGGCCUUCCGCGUCGCCGAUCCCCUUUCCGCGCCCCGCUCCGGAGGUGGGGGACCGGCCGGGGCCUUGCGGGGGAGGCCCGUGGAGGGCGCGACGGGCUCGGCCGCCGGGCUGGCCUUUUCCCCACUGGUCUUCCGAGUCGACCGGCUCUGGCGGUGGGGACCGGGCCCGGUCCUCGGAUGCCUCCUCCUCCGUGGCAGUUUUUU